rnacentral:rRNA from 1 species
CGGAUUAGUGGCGAACGGGUGAGUAAUACGUGAGUAACCUGCCCUUGACUCUGGGAUAAGCCUGGGAAACUGGGUCUAAUACUGGAUACUACCUCUUACCGCAUGGUGGGUGGUGGAAAGGGUUUUACUGGUUUUGGAUGGGCUCACGGCCUAUCAGCUUGUUGGUGGGGUAAUGGCUCACCAAGGCGACGACGGGUAGCCGGCCUGAGAGGGUGACCGGCCACACUGGGACUGAGACACGGCCCAGACUCCUACGGGAGGCAGCAGUGGGGAAUAUUGCACAAUGGGCGGAAGCCUGAUGCAGCGACGCCGCGUGAGGGAUGACGGCCUUCGGGUUGUAAACCUCUUUCAGUAGGGAAGAAGCGAGAGUGACGGUACCUGCAGAAGAAGCGCCGGCUAACUACGUGCCAGCAGCCGCGGUAAUACGUAGGGCGCAAGCGUUGUCCGGAAUUAUUGGGCGUAAAGAGCUCGUAGGCGGUUUGUCGCGUCUGCUGUGAAAGCCCGGGGCUCAACCCCGGGUCUGCAGUGGGUACGGGCAGACUAGAGUGCAGUAGGGGAGACUGGAAUUCCUGGUGUAGCGGUGAAAUGCGCAGAUAUCAGGAGGAACACCGAUGGCGAAGGCAGGUCUCUGGGCUGUUACUGACGCUGAGGAGCGAAAGCAUGGGGAGCGAACAGGAUUAGAUACCCUGGUAGUCCAUGCCGUAAACGUUGGGCACUAGGUGUGGGGGGACAUUCCACGUUUUCCGCGCCGUAGCUAACGCAUUAAGUGCCCCGCCUGGGGAGUACGGCCGCAAGGCUAAAACUCAAAGGAAUUGACGGGGGCCCGCACAAGCGGCGGAGCAUGCGGAUUAAUUCGAUGCAACGCGAAGAACCUUACCAAGGCUUGACAUUCACCGGACCGCCCCAGAGAUGGGGUUUCCCUUCGGGGCUGGUGGACAGGUGGUGCAUGGUUGUCGUCAGCUCGUGUCGUGAGAUGUUGGGUUAAGUCCCGCAACGAGCGCAACCCUCGUUCUAUGUUGCCAGCACGUGAUGGUGGGGACUCAUAGGAGACUGCCGGGGUCAACUCGGAGGAAGGUGGGGAUGACGUCAAAUCAUCAUGCCCCUUAUGUCUUGGGCUUCACGCAUGCUACAAUGGCCGGUACAAAGGGUUGCGAUACUGUGAGGUGGAGCUAAUCCCAAAAAGCCGGUCUCAGUUCGGAUUGAGGUCUGCAACUCGACCUCAUGAAGUCGGAGUCGCUAGUAAUCGCAGAUCAGCAACGCUGCGGUGAAUACGUUCCCGGGCCUUGUACACACCGCCCGUCAAGUCACGAAAGUUGGUAACACCCGA